AAAUUAAUUAUUUACAUUAAUAUAUAUAUAUAUAUAAGUUUAUUAAAAUAAAUUAAAUUUGAUUAAGUAAGUUUAUUUAAUAAAAAUAAUUUUAUUGAAAAUUGUUAAAUUAAAAUUUAUUGAAAUAAUUAAAUAUUUAUUAAAUUUGUAUUGUAAAAGAUGUAAAAAUUUUAGAUAAAUAGUAAUUUAAUUAAUUGUUCCUUUUGUAUCAGGAAUUAUUAAAUUUAUUAUAAUAAAAUUUAUAAUUUUCGAAGUAAUAAGAGUUAAUUAAUUAUAAAAUAUAAAGUUUAAUUUUUAUUUUAAAUAAUUAAUUGGAAGUGAAAUGUUAGUAGAUUAUUAUGAUAUCUAAUUAUUUAAUAACAAAUUUAAUUUAUUUUAAUAAAUAUGUAUAAUAAAUUAUUUUAUUAAUAAUAUAUAUAUAUAUAUAUACAUUUAUAUUAAAAUUAAAAUUUAGGGGAUAAUCUUUAAAUUUAGUUUAUAAAUUUAAAUUUUUGAUUAAUUAAAAUUUAAUAGUAUUAAAAUUUUAUAUUUAAUUAAAUAAUUUAAUAAUUUAGUUUAAUUAUAAAAAUAAUUAAAGUUUGAUUAAAAUAUUAUAAAUUUAUUUAAAAUAAUUAAUAAAAAAUAAUAUUAAUUUGAUAAUGAUAAUAUUAGUAAAUAAAAUUAUUUAAAAAUUUUAUAAUAAUGUAUUAGAUUUAAUAAUUCGGCAAAUAUUUGUUUACCUGUUUAACAAAAACAUCGUUUUUUGAUUUAAUAAUUUAAAAUCAGUUCUGCUCAAUGAAUAAAUUUAAAUGGCUGCAGUAUUUUAACUGUGCUAAGGUAGCAUAAUAAUUAGUUUAUUAAUUGUGAACUUGUAUGAAUGAUUUAAUAAAACAAAAACUUUUUUAAUUUAAAAUUUUAAAUUUAAUAAGUAAGUAAAAAUGCUUAUAUAUUUAUAUUAGACGAUAAGACCCUAUAAAAUUUUAUAAUAAAAUUUUUAUUAAUUUAUUGAAUUUAUAAAUAGUAGUUUUAUUAUUUAAUUGGGGUGAUUUAAUUAUUUAAUAAAUUAAUUGAUUUUUUAAACAUUAAUAAAUGAAUUUUAGAUCCAAAAUUUUUGAUUAAUAGAUUAAAUUACUUUAGGGAUAACAGCGUAAUUAUUUAUUUUAGUUCUUAUAAAUUAAAUUAUUUGCGACCUCGAUGUUGAAUUAAGAUUAAAUUUAAAAGUAAAGUAUUAAAUAUUUAGUCUGUUCGACUAUUAAAUCUUACAUGAUUUGAGUUCAAAUCGGUGUGAGCCAGAUUGGAUUUUAUCUUUAUAUAUUAUAUAUAAAUAUUGUACGAAAGGACUAAUUUAUAAAAAUAUUUUUAUUUAAAUUGAAUAAAAUUAAUGUGUUUAU
rnacentral:rRNA from 1 species